UAGAUAGAUGGAGAACAGGAAUACCCACA
rnacentral:piRNA from 1 species